rnacentral:rRNA from 1 species
ACAUGCCUACAAUAUAAUGUUAAUGCACCGGAUCCCAUUAGAACUCCGCAAUUAAGCGCGCUCAAGAUAGAGUAGUACUGGGAUGGGUGACCGCUCGAGAAGUCCUAGUCUUUUACAUGCC